rnacentral:lncRNA from 1 species
GUCAUGUAUUGUCUAUCUUACCAGGUUGCAUUGGGGGUGUGUAUUAGGUAGUGAUCCUCCAUGAUUCAUACGUCUUUUGUCAAGAUCAUUUUUCAUCUCUAUACUUUACUCUCUACCUCUUGUACUUGCCUCUCUUGAAUUCAUACUGUGCUGAGAAAUUUUGGAAUUCUAAGUCUUCAGUAAACUCAUUUUCUUCCAAACAUCCACUGGCAGUACUAGCUUGGUUAUAUGCCACCAGUAGAUAAAGAAAUUUAAUUUCUUCCCCUGCAUGGGAUAGGUUGAAAUUUUGAGGCUGAGGUAUUGAUGGUUGGUGUACUGAAUCUCUUCCAGAACACACAUUUAUUGUCUUCCUUCGUGUGCACCAAAAUGCCUUGGAAUGAAGGACCUUUUACAUCUAUUUUCAACUCAUUCUGGAUCGGUUUCCUUUUAAGAACCAUCAGCCCCAUUCACCUGGCAAUCGGAGUUCAGAAGAUAUAAUUUACAGCCUCCAGAAGUCUAGGUGAGCGCAAUUGGAUGAUGUCCAGCUUCGCCGGAAUCAGAGAGGCUAAUUCAUCUCAGGUGCAUUUCAAGGAGGCUCUGCACCCCGUCUCUGUGAGACAAGCUGAAAUCAUAGAGUCAAGAUCAACUCCUCGUGGGCUCAAGAUCCUACAAGACCUUUCUUCCACUCCCCUUUCCGCCCCCCUUCCCUUGUAUGUUGUAAGUGCCACUUAUAAACAAGAUACCAAGACUUGGGACAUUGAAAAUGCCACUUCAGAAAAUGUGUCAGCCAGCUGUCCCUCUUUCCUUUUAAUGAGAUGCAUCCGGGACUGCAGAAAACCAAAGGCCGCCACGGAGGCAGCAUUGUCGCCGGGCAACCAAGCAUCCUUCCAGCUUCCCCAGAACUAAUCUCACAAUAUCCUGCAACCCUGGUCCUCUCACAACCUCAGGGGGAAGUCCUUGAAUCCACCCCCAUCCUCGUUCCAGGCUCGCAAGUGAAUGUGCCGGGAGCUGGUGUUACAAAACCAGUUGUUAUUUUGAAAUUGACUGGGGGUUGGUACAACUUCAGGGCAUUCUAAUCAGAAUGCAGGCAAGACUGGAGGAUACACACUUUUCCCCCCAACAUGUACACUAAGCGGGGCUGAAUGGUACACCUGUCAAAAUCAUGACUCUGUCACCUGAAUCUCAGAACUCCUGUCCUAUCUCUCUUUUUUCAGACCCCCUCACAUACCCAGUUCAUCAGUCCCUAAGUCUCUUGAGCCCUCCCUUGCAGUGCAGUGUUCAUGUCCUGGCCCCUCAUUUCUGGUAUCAUCCUAUUCCAGCCCUCACUCCCUGGUGCUCGGACCAUUGCAGUACCCACUAGCUGCGUGCUUGGCUUCCGGUUGUUUCUGCUUUGUUAGUUUCACCCUGUACACGGGUUAAUCUUCCUGGUGACUACCUUCUCUUCUCAGAAGCCCUCAGUGGCUUCCUAUCACCUACCAGCAUGGAGGCCAAAUUCCUUAGCUUAUCAUUCCCACCCUUCAGACACCUGGUCCUUACCUCUCUCUCCAACUAACUCUAACUCUUGCAGUCCUCCAGCAGAAACCCUGCACCCUAAUCCAUCUACGUGACUCCUUACUUCUUCUAUGAUGGUUUUCUAGCUCCGUGCCUAAAAAAUGAAUGUCACGCCCCACACCAUCCUUGAGAUUGUUUCAAGUCCUAAUUCCACUACUUAUUACCUGUGUGACCUCAGUUGAAUUAUCUAACUUCUUUCUGCCUCAACUUCUUAUCUGUGAAAUAGGGAUAAUAAUAGUAUCUACCACAGGGGCGCCUGGGUGGUUAAGUCAGUUAAGCAUCUGCCUUCCGCUCAGGUCGUGAUCACAGGGUCCUAGGAUUGAGUGAUACGUCUGGCUCCCUACUUCUCCCUCUACCGCUCCCCCUACACAUCCUCUGUAUGUGUGUGUGUGUGUGUGUGUGUGUGUGCGUGUCUCAAAUAAAUAAAUAAAAUGUUUUAAAAAU